GAUGAACGCUGGCGGCGUUGCUUAACACAUGCAAGUCGAACGAAGAUGCCGGAGUGCUUGCACUUUUGGCAGACUGAGUGGCGGACGGGUGAGUAACGCGUGGGUAACCUGCCUUAUACAGGGGGAUAACAGUUGGAAACGACUGCUAAUACCGCAUAAGCGCACGGUAUCGCAUGAUACAGUGUGAAAAACUCCGGUGGUAUAAGAUGGACCCGCGUCUGAUUAGAUAGUUGGUGAGGUAACGGCCCACCAAGUCAACGAUCAGUAGCCGGCCUGAGAGGGCGAACGGCCACAUUGGGACUGAGACACGGCCCAAACUCCUACGGGAGGCAGCAGUGGGGAAUAUUGCACAAUGGGGGAAACCCUGAUGCAGCGACGCCGCGUGAGUGAAGAAGUAUUUCGGUAUGUAAAGCUCUAUCAGCAGGGAAGAAAGACAUGACGGUACCUGACUAAGAAGCCCCGGCUAACUACGUG
rnacentral:rRNA from 1 species